rnacentral:lncRNA from 1 species
GCCCUGGCUGCUCCCGGUCCUAGUCCUCGUCCUGUCCUCAUCCGCCCUGCUGGGACUCAAGCACUCGCCCACCACGAGCGGGUCCGGGGUCGCGGCGCCGGGGCAGUUCUAGGCCUCCGCAUGUGGCGCACACGCUGCCCGCCGUGGGCGCCCCAUCACCCUAUCGCGGUCCUCGGCCCAGCGCGGAGAUGGACUCUGAAGCGACAGGGAGUUCACACUUGCGUCUUUGACAAACUCCUGUCCUCUCGCUUUUUUUUUUUUUUUUUUUAAUAAACUGUGAGCCAGUAAUUUGCUGCUGAGCACUGCGACAGCUUGAGUAGCCUUUGCCAGUCCUUGCUUCUGAGUGCUGUUCUGAAAUUUCCUCUGUUGCAAGGAGCAGGCUGGGGACGUGUGUGUAUUCGGGAAGAGGGCUGUUAUGCAGAACUUUUGAUGUAUAAGAAUGUUUUAAAAUUAUAAAUACAAUGUACACUUUAGCUCCUUAAAAAUAAAAUUUACAGUUACAGUUGUACUUGCAGUGAGUCUAUUUGUAUAAAUGGAACCAUAACAUCACCAGGAAAGAAAAAUAUUGAGUAUUUGUAGUAGAGUUUUCAAGUGUUUUUUUGAGUUCCACUCGUCUAACACGAAGCAAAAUCUAGUAUAUUAUUUUUAAAAAGCAAGCAGUGUAUUCACUCUCUACUCCAAAGUCGCCGCCUUUGGGCUGUAUCAGUUGGCAAGAAAUACAUACUCUUCAUGAAAUAGUACAAAAAAGUUAAAGACUAAAAAUUUCCUUUUUGUUCUGGAAAAUUACCCAGCUGUGCUGAUUUUUCUCUUUUUAUGAAACCAACAUGGCAUAGAUACAUUAAGCACCGUUUGGUUUGGAGAACGAUGUUACAGGGAUUGGAAAAGUGUCAGUCUUUGAGCUCAACAAUCACUACUUAAGAAUGGAAUAGUACCAACUAGCCUUAGAUAAUCGAGAUCCCACUGUGUUUUGGAUGUACUUAUUUUAAAGGGUAAGAAUUGAAAUAUUUGAUUACUGAUAUCUUUAGGUGGCAAGCAACAGAAGUUACAGGUUUCUUUACUGUAUGCCUUGUGACUUGCUGCAGCUCAGCGUUUUGGGAUCACAGCCUUCUAUGGGCAGGGCUUUUAACACAUACCGCUGAACAAUGCGUUAAAUUACUUUAAAUUUCCAUCCCAUUUAGAAUUUAGCCAAGCAAGCUUCCAUUAUUUCUUUUAACCUAAAAGGGAAUGAUCACAAAAUGCCUCAGAGUUCUGUGCCAGUAAGCCUCUAAGCAUCUUUAAAGACACAAACUGAUGUUGAAUUCUGCAAAUCCGUUCACCAAUGUCUUCAUAAAAGAUGAAUACUUUAAGAGUAAAUUUUUUUGUCAGAAACUCAGUUUGAUUCUUCUUUGUGUUACUGUUAGAUACAAUUCUGUGUAACAAAUAGAAUUAAA